rnacentral:rRNA from 1 species
CGCAAUGGGCGAAAGCUUGACGCAGCCACGCCGCGUGACGAUGAAGGCCUUACGGUCGUAAAGCUCUGUGGAGAGAGAAGAAAACUGACGGUAUCUCUUUAGCAAGCACCGGCUUAACUCCGUGCCAGCAGCUGCGGUAAUACGGAGGGUGCAAACGCUUGCUCGGAAUCAUUGGGCGUAAAGCACAUGUAGGCGGCUACGCAAGUUGUUAUGUGAAAGCCCAGGGCUCAACCUUGGAAGUGCAUCCAAAACUGCGGUGGCUUGAGUUCCGGAGGGGCCCAGAGAAUUCCCGGUGUACAGGUGGAAUUCGUACGAUAUCGGGAGNNAUACCAGUGGCGAAGGCGCUGGGCUGGCCGGAUACUGACGCUGAGAUGUGAAAGCGUGGGGAGCAAACAGGAUUAGAUACCCUGGUAGUCCACGCCGUAAACGAUGAGUGCUAGGCGGCGGGAGGAUUGACCCUCUCGUUGUCGAAGCUAACGCGUUAAGCACUCCGCCUGGCG